UUGUAUUUUGACUGUGCUAAGGUAGCGAAGUCAUUUGUUUUUUUAUUGAAAACUUGUAUGAGGGGAUUUAUGGAGAGUAUUUUUUGUAGGUCUUAUUUAUUGAAUUUUAUUUUUCUAUGAAAAGUUAGAUGAUUUCUCAAAGACGAGAAGACCCCAAAAUCUUUAUUUUAGAUGGAUAAUUUUUAAUUUUUGUUUGGGGGAAAAGGUUAUAUUUAUAGUUAGUUUUUUUAUGUAGAACUUUAUUAGGAUAAUGGGAUAGAUACUUUGGGGGUAACAGGAUUAUUUUUUUUUGAAGUUCUUAUUUUAGGAGAAGAUUAUUACCUCGAUGUUGGCUUUUGA
rnacentral:rRNA from 1 species